UUAAAGCUUGUAUUUUGUGUUAC
rnacentral:miRNA from 1 species